rnacentral:other from 1 species
ACGGUUCUGCGCAAUUCGUGCCGGGCUCAAUUCCAGUGGCCUUACUCAAAUCCGAGGGAGCUGGCUCUGUCCUGACUCUGGUCUGGUUAUCUGGUGCCCACCUGUAUCUUCAGGUCCUCGGGAAUUCAAAACCCCGACGGUUGUCGCGGUUCCGUC